AUCUUUCUUAUUUGUUUGGUUGGUAGUGUUGUGUUAAUAUGGCUGAUAUCUUGUAGUGGAUUUGGGUUUUUUGGGUUUCUAAUAUUUCUAUUUUGCCAGUAAUUUUUAGACCACAUUUCUUAUUUCUAGUUGAAAAUUUAUUUCUCUCUUUGUAUAUGUCUUAGUGAAAACAACGUUUUCUGCAAUAAGUUUGAAUUGAAAGGAAAAUGAGACGGAAAAACAAGCGGCAUGAUACUAAGGCAGCGUCGCCUGAAAAAUCGCCCGAGAAGGCAUCUCGCCGGUCUAGCCGACACUCGAGACGGAGAAGGAACGCGUCAUCCUCGCCGGAAAGGGAGGAAGAUGACAAGGCAGCAGCAGCAGCGGCUACAGCAACGGCAACUGUAGUCAAGGAGUUGAAGCAGACUCGCAGCUCUUCCCCCUCCCCCGUCCUAGUGACUGAGGUAAUAGGCAACAAUGUCUUCUCACUGGCCAACAUUGAAGAACCUAGCUCUAGUAAGAAGCACAGUUCAGCUGUGCUCAACGAAGAAGACAAAUCGGUGGUCAAAUCUGCUGAUAAUGCAGAAAAAGAAAACACUGAAAAGCCCGCUGAAGCAACAACUGAGAAUAAAGAGAAGGGUGACGGUGCUGGUGCUGUUUGGAAAGUGCAGAGUGCAAAUGGUGCUGGAGGUGAAAUACAGAAAUUGAAAAUCUGUCGCUCUUUCUUGUCCAAAGAAAUUUCUUCGCCAAAGAGGAGGGGCAGAUCUCACAGAGACUCGAGUCAGAAAGGCACCGAAGAAAGCAGCGACUGCGACGACCAUUCCCAAUCUGAAGGCAGCGAAUCGAAGAGCAGACACCGAACGAGGACUCGCACAGUGUCGCAGAGCAGUCCGACUCUGCAGGACUCGCCCAAAGUGGUGUGCGACGUGUCCGACGAGAAGCCCACUAAAAUUAAGAUCCACAUCGGCAGCAAGAGUCCCGUCGCCACGCCGCCUGACGUCACUGUAGCCAUGGUCGAGCAAGUUGUCGAGGAAGAGGUCAUUGUUGACUCCCAGCAAGUCGAAGAGGUCGCUACAGAAACUGUGCAGGAGGUGGCUCAGGUGCCGAACGAUACUGAACAGGAGGCUCAACAAACCUCUGAUGAUACAACACUGAAAGCCAGCACUGAGGUUGUCGUCGACGUCCAAAGCAUUCAGAACAUUGAAUUGCCGGCUGAAGCGGCGCCAGUAGAGAAGCCCAACUCACAUACUUCCAGUCCUAGGGCUGAGAAAAAACAAGCGACUGUUAACGAAGACCGCACAACAGAAGAUUCUGACUCCGGGACGAAUAGUGAUGAUGAUCACACUGAUGAUGAAACCAAUGUGAAGAAAAAGAAGAAGAAGAGGAGGAAGAAGGGGAUGAUGUCGUCAGUAUCCAGGCAGAAACCCAUCCCUGAAUCGGAUCAACCCCAAAGGAGGGAAAGCAGCAAAGAAGAGCCUGGAGAGGAAAGGAUAGCCCAGGAAGAGGAAGGAGCAAGGACCACCGCGGAGGAGCAGCACCGGGACCAUGAGGAAUCGGCCAAGGAAACUUCUUCCGUCACUGUGGAUAAGGAAAAUGUUGCCGAAUCUUCAAGAACAUCACCUGCCCCUGCAGAGCCAGUUGCCAAGAAACGACGAUGGGGAGCCAGCAAAUCAAUCAGGCCUGCCAAAAAACCAGUUCUCUGUAUAUCUACUGACUCGUUAAAGAAUCUUAUUCCUGAAGCGAAACCAGUGUCCAUUGAAGAGGUUCGAUUAUCAGUUGAGGAGGAAAAUGAACAUAUUGAAGACAUGGAGGAAGAUCAGUCUGAAGUAAAGAAGGAAUCUCCCAAAGAAGUAAAGAAAAAAGAUCGAAAGAAAGAGAAGGAACGUCUAAAAGAGAAAGAGGAAGAGGAGCUGGAUGAGAAGCCCGACCGUGAUGAGAAACCAGAAAGGCCUUCAACUGAUGGAAUGAAAGUGAAUAGAAGGAUCUGUGUGUUGAGCGAAGAUGACCGGAAGCUGGCGAGGUCGCCGUCGCCGCCCCGCCACCGGCCAUCCGACGUGCUCUUCAUCACCAACCUGGUCCGGCCAUUCACCAUUCCGCAGCUCAAGAACCUGCUCGCAAGAACCGGCAAGAUCGCCGAAAAUGGCUUCUGGAUUGAUAAAAUCAAAUCCAAGUGCUAUGUGCAAUAUUCAGACGUGGAGGAGGCGAUUGAGACGCGACAUGCGCUGCACGGCGUGCGCUGGCCGGUGAGCAAUCCGCGCACUCUGUGCGUAGAGUUUGCGAACCACGACGACAUGGUGGUGGCGCAGGCGGCCGCUGAGCAGGAGGCGAUUCCGCGCAAAACGGAGCCUCUUUUCCACUCUGGCGGCGACCACUCGGUCGAGGGAUGGAUCGCCGAUCAGGCCAGGCUCAAUUCGGACAGGCCGCAACGAAGGGUGAGGGAAUGGGAUGUUGGGAAGCCAGCACACCCGGACGAAGCCCUCGAUCAACUGCACACCCCCAGGCCUGAUUUCGAGGAUCCACGAGAUCGAGAACGCAGGGUUAAGAAAGAAAAAGGUCGUCGAAGUAGAACACCCGAUGCUCAUCAACCAAUAGCGAGAAAACAGAGAAGAAAAGAUGAAGAUGCUCCAGCUAAGCUAUUGGAUGAUCUUUUCAGGAAAACCAAAGUCCAUCCUUGUAUUUAUUGGCUGCCGUUAACUGCCGAACAGAUUGUUGUAAAGGAAGAGAUGCGACGCCAACAUAUGGCUGAGCAUGAGAGACGCAUCGCUGAGAUGAAAAAAGCAGAACAAUCUCGACGUGACAGAGAUAGAAGAGACAGAUCGAGGAAGUAGCGGUUGACAGCUUGAUGAUAGAUUAGAAGCUGCAGUGUUGUUGCAGAAGAGAGACAGGAACCAGUCAGGUGGAACUCAGAUAGCUCUGUCUCCUCGGAGUCAGAAUGGGUAGAGCGGUCAGAUCAGUACUGUCUCCUCGGCAGCUGAACUGACGUAGGAAUUGUUAGAAGAUUCCUGCUGAAUCUUGGGCUAAAUGAGUGUUACAUCUUGGACCAUUGAAAUGGGAGCAGACAUUUGGAAUUCUUCAUUCAAGUAUUGUGUAUGUGUGACAACGCCGUCUGAUAUGUUUGAUGACAUCGAUUUCUGAAAAAACUGUUACAAUUGAUUUAAAUUGUAGAGCAACUCAGUGAAAUCAUCAGUAAGGACAUGAACGUGACAAGUUUCAAUGUUUGAAACGAACUCAUGAAAUGGAUUUGGAAAUCCAGUACCUUCAGUAUCGAUAAAAAUCUCAAAAUGAGUUUGUCUUGAAUAACAUUGUGAUAUCUGUAAGAAAGAACUUGCCAAUUUCCAUUCGCCGGUCACAUAAAAGUGAUUGAAUUUUUAAAAAAUAUACCUACAUUGUUUAUUGAAGAAACUUGCAAUUUAUAAUUUAAUAAAAAAUCAAAGUUGGCUUAUUUGGCUUAAAA
rnacentral:misc_RNA from 1 species